rnacentral:antisense_RNA from 1 species
CGUUAUGGCGGCUGUGUGCGGGAGGCCUUCGGGUCUGCCGGGUUUCUCAUUUGCCCCGGUUCGCCAACCCUCACACAGCUGCCACCCUU